rnacentral:lncRNA from 1 species
CUUACCCAGAGGCCCUGGGGACAGGGUCUCGGGCUAUAGUUGGUCUCUGUUUCUUCCUGUCACAUCCACACCCCACCUGGUGGGCUCUGGGAUCCCAAAGCAGGGCCUCAAAGCCCCGCUGCUGAUGUGGCAGGGUUGUGCCAGGUCACAGAAAGUCACAUGCUGUGAUUCAGGCACAUGACGACAUCCCAUGCUUCCUGCCCCAAGACCUGGCUUCAUCAUGGACGGACCUAUGAGGAUGGUUCCAGCCUCUCCACUCAGGCAGGUUCAAGGACUCACCCAUGAUCCAGCAGCUAAUGAGGUGAUGGCUGGAAGCGCAGGAUGGAGCUCCAACAUGGCAGUCAGUGUCUGUUCUGUCUGGUCAAUACCCAGGGUGUGUCAGUGGUUAGGUAUUACGAAUACCAACCUCACAUCCAUGCACCCACUACCAAGAUGCAACAGAGGAGAAGCCAGCUGCCACGCUGUGAGCAGCCCUGUGGGGAGGCUCACACGGCAAGGAACUGAGGCCUCCUGACAACGGCCAGUAAGAGACUGAGGCCUCCAGGAAACAACGACAUGAAUGAACUGGGAAGCGAAUACAGCUGACGGCAGCCUCAGGGACAUCUUCCGCGCAACUUCAUGAGAGACCCUAGAACCACCCAGCUAAGAUACCUGAAUUCCUCACCCACUGCGAGAUAACAAGUGUUUGUUGUUCUAAGCUGCUAAAUUUGGGGUAAUUUUUGUGCAGCCACAAAUAAC